rnacentral:rRNA from 1 species
GAUGAACGCUGGCGGCGUGCCUAAUACAUGCAAGUCGAGCGAACGGACGAGAAGCUUGCUUCUCUGAUGUUAGCGGCGGACGGGUGAGUAACACGUGGAUAACCUACCUAUAAGACUGGGAUAACUUCGGGAAACCGGAGCUAAUACCGGAUGAUAUUUUGAACCGCAUGGUUCAAAAGUGAAAGACGGUCUUGCUGUCACUUAUAGAUGGAUCCGCGCUGCAUUAGCUAGUUGGUAAGGUAACGGCUUACGAAGGCAACGAUGCAUAGCCGACCUGAGAGGGUGAUCGGCCACACGGGAACUGAGACACGGUCCAGACUCCUACGGGAGGCAGCAGUAGGGAAUCUUCCGCAAUGGGCGAAAGCCUGACGGAGCAACGCCGCGUGAGUGAUGAAGGUCUUCGGAUCGUAAAACUCUGUUAUUAGGGAAGAACAUAUGUGUAAGUAACUGUGCACAUCUUGACGGUACCUAAUCAGAAAGCCACGGCUAACUACGUG